rnacentral:rRNA from 3 species
UUGACCUCAAAUCAGGUAGGACUACCCGCUGAACUUAAGCAUAUCACUAAGCGGAGGA